rnacentral:rRNA from 1 species
UGGGGAAUAUUGGACAAUGGGCGAAAGCCUGAUCCAGCCAUGCCGCGUGUGUGAAGAAGGUCUUCGGAUUGUAAAGCACUUUAAGUUGGGAGGAAGGGCAGUAAGUUAAUACCUUGCUGUUUUGACGUUACCGACAGAAUAAGCACCGGCUAACUCUGUGCCAGCAGCCGCGGUAAUACAGAGGGUGCAAGCGUUAAUCGGAAUUACUGGGCGUAAAGCGCGCGUAGGUGGUUAGUUAAGUUGGAUGUGAAAUCCCCGGGCUCAACCUGGGAACUGCAUUCAAAACUGACUGACUAGAGUAUGGUAGAGGGUGGUGGAAUUUCCUGUGUAGCGGUGAAAUGCGUAGAUAUAGGAAGGAACACCAGUGGCGAAGGCGACCACCUGGACUGAUACUGACACUGAGGUGCGAAAGCGUGGGGAGCAAACAGGAUUAGAUACCCUUGUAGUCCCUGAGCGGGCUGGCAAGGCGCAU